GCAGUCGAGCGGUAGCACAAGAGAGCUUGCUCUCUGGGUGACGAGCGGCGGACCGUCUANGGGUGUCUGGGAAACUGCCUGAUGGAGGGGGAUAACUAUUGGAAACGGUAGCUAAUACCGCAUAACGUCUUCGGACCAAAGUGGGGGACCUUCGGGCCUCACGCCAUCAGAUGUGCCCAGAUGGGAUUAGCUAGUAGGUGGGGUAAUGGCUCACCUAGGCGACGAUCCCUAGCUGGUCUGAGAGGAUGACCAGCCACACUGGAACUGAGACACGGUCCAGACUCCUACGGGAGGCAGCAGUGGGGAAUAUUGCACAAUGGGCGCAAGCCUGAUGCAGCCAUGCCGCGUGUGUGAAGAAGGCCUUCGGGUUGUAAAGCACUUUCAGCGAGGAGGAAGGGUUCAGUGUUAAUAGCACUGUUCAUUGACGUUACUCGCAGAAGAAGCACCGGCUAACUCCGUGCCAGCAGCCGCGGUAAUACGGAGGGUGCAAGCGUUAAUCGGAAUUACUGGGCGUAAAGCGCACGCAGGCGGUUUGUUAAGUCAGAUGUGAAAUCCCCGCGCUUAACGUGGGAACUGCAUUUGAAACUGGCAAGCUAGAGUCUUGUAUAGGGGGGUAGAAUUCCAAGUGUAGCGGUGAAAUGCGUAGAGAUCUGGAGGAAUACCGGUGGCGAAGGCGGCCCCCUGGACAAAGACUGACGCUCAGGUGCGAAAGCGUGAGGAGCAGACAGGAUUAGAUACCCUGGUAGUCCACGCUGUAAACGAUGUCGACUUGGAGGUUGUGCCCUUGAGGCGUGGCUUCCGGAGCUAACGCGUUA
rnacentral:rRNA from 1 species